GCUGCUGGCAACUGCUUUUGCUUACUUAACAAAACUAAUCAAAGUGAGUUGAUGUUGCCAGCAUCAGCCAAUACGUGAAAAAAAAAAUCUGUAAGGAAGUCAUAAACUCUCUCAAAUCCACUUCAACCCCUCAUCCCUUCUAACUCUUUUAUGGUCAGGUCUGCACUACAAGGUAUUCAAAAAUGUGCAUUAAGGGAGGGAAAACAGCGACCUCCUCCCUCUGCCUGACUUUCUCUUUUUUGAGCAGCAGCAGCAGCAUUCCAUUCCUGAGGAAAGUAUGUGGUGUAGUAGCCCAGCAGUCACAGGAUUUCUCUUAUUUUAACUGUGCUGCUGCCAGUAACGUCACAGGUUAUUCUGGGUAAUUAAGUACUGAAUGUAAAUAUGUUAAGUCGGCAGCCCUUUUAAGGCCUGUGUGUUUCUUCCUGCUCAGUUAUCUGACAUAAGAAGACCUCGAGACGUUAAAAAACAGCGUGUUUGCACUGUAAACAAUGAGGGCUACACAGUUGAAAUCAAAUACAAAGGAAGAUUUUUCCCAUUUCUCUCUUGCAACAUACUUGAAGGCAAUGUUUUAAGCACUUGGGAGACAUAAACAUCUGGAUCUGGAAUGUCUGUAGCUACACUGAUGAAAUAAAGAUGUAAAAUCUGGUAAAUUUUUAUCCAUGUUUUCAUCCGCUGGUGCCGAUUUAUUCAUUUGUGUCGAGUGAUUUGUGAUGAUGAAACAAACACGGCUAAAAAAAAUACAUAAAGCUGUCAAAUAGAGCCUUUAAAAAGCUACUAACUUGACAGAAAUUGUGUGAUAAUGAGCCGUAAUUGCACACUUACCAGACAUGUUGACAAACCCAGAGUACUGUCAGUGAAGGGCUGAUGGUUUUCCUGUUUGAUUUUGUUUCUUUAUGAAACUUAAUUUACCAUUUUAGGUCAAGAAGCAGCUUGGUUAUUGAAUCAUUUUUGUUCCAUGAUGGCCUCUGUUUGGCGGUGCUAUGUUUAACCACUGAAGAGACAAAAGAGGAAACACAGAGUAACAAAUAAACACACACGCAUGGUGUCAGAUGCAUGACGUGAGUUUGACCUUAUGACUGGUGGCUGAUGAGCGAUUGAAUAGUAAAUGCUGAGUUGGAUUUUACCGGAGACGACAAGAAACAGACCCUGUAAGACUGAUUAAACUUUCGACUCUCUAUCGUGAGGAAGGUUUUUUUUUUUUUUUUUUACUGUUUUUCCAAAGCGCUGACGUUAGACACUGAAUACUGAAUCUGAGUCACAGGAGGAAUACUCCCUUUUUUAUAAAAGGCCUCUUCCAGCCAAACUGACUAACUCCUAAGACUUCACUUGUUCUACCUUUGGCUUGUUGCCAGACAAGCAGAUUAGAUUUAUGGUUACUGUCAUCGUUUAUGGCUAAUGACUCAGCAGAUCAACCUCUUCCCCUGAAUCGCAUGUGGAAUCAAUUUUUAGUUUGCUGAAGAUGCUGGGUCGACUCUUUCAUCUUCACUGGAGCAUGCUUGGAGUACAUAGCAAACGAACCAGAUGAGUAACCAGCUUCGUGUCCUGGUUGGCUUGUAUCACCAUCACGUUGACCGCAAGCAACGACACACCGUUUCCUUUCUGUAGCUCCUCUGUAAUGAGUAAGAUACACGCAUCAUUUGGGUCAUACUUUCUAGAUGAAAUCAGAUAGUUUCAUCAGUAAAGACAUUCUUAGCACAUGAUAAGGCAAGAAGCAGGAGGUUGCAGAAGAUAUUGGGUUUAUUUACCUCAUGUUAGAUUAGAGAUGAGAUGUGAUGCUAUUGCAUUUGAGAGAAGAUGUGAGAUGAGAAAACUUAUUGGAUUAAAAUAUACAAUAUUUGAAACAAGACAAAAUAGAAUGAGAUUCAACUGAACAAAAUGGGACUGUAUUACUUUGGAUUAGAGCAGAGUUUAGGCUCCUUUACAUGUUGUUUUAGAUGAGAUUACAUUAUGCUGAAUUAGGAUUGCAUUAGGUUACAUUAAAUUAGAGAGGAUGUUCCAUGAGAUGUGACUGGAGGAUAAAUGAGAUGGGAUCAGAUUAUAUUAAAGUUGAAUAAAAAUGUGAUGUGAUUGAAUGAGAUGAGACGAGACUGGAUUACACUAGAUUAAGAUAAGAAUCCAUAAUGUGAGACGCAAAAGGUGAUAAACUGAGAUAGCAGAGAGGAAAUACAACAAUUUGAUAUCAGAUUAGAGGUGAGAUGCCAUGAGAUUUGAUUAUGUUAGAGAUGAAAUUAGAUAACAUUAUAAUAGAGAUUCAGUGGAAUGAAAUAGAAAUAAAUAGGAUUGUAUUUAGUAGACUUGAGAUGAGAUGAGAUUCAGCCCAAUUUAACUGAAUCGAUUAUAGAUGAGAUGUACUGUGGGAUGAGAUGGAAUGCUUAAACUGAGAUUACAUGAGAGCAAUCGCUUUUCACUAAAGGUGAGAUAACAUUAGAUUAGGUGCAGUUAGCUAAAAUUAGAUUACAUUAAAUUUGAUGGUACAUUAGUGAUACGACAUUAGCUACAUUAGAUUAGAGUGGAGAUGUGACAGGUUUAGAUGAGAAUGAAAUUAGGCUAUACAAAAGAAGAGAUGAGAUUAGAUAAAAUUUGACUACUUUGGGUUUGAUAGGACGUUCAGUGAGAUGGUAUGAGAGUAAAUGAGAUGAGUUUACAUGAGAAUGAGAUUAUAUUUGAUGACAGAAGAGAUGAGGUUAGAUGAGAAUGAGAUUGUAUUUGACCACAGCAGAGGAGGUUAGAUGAGAAUAAGAUUGUAUUUGACCACAUGAGAGGAGGUUAGAUGAAGUGAAACUAGAUAAGAUUAGAUUACAUUAACCUGAAUAUGGCAUUAGAUGAGAUGGAAAGAGAGUAAAUUAGGUGAGUUUAAAUCAGAAUGAGAUUCAAUUUCACAAAAAGAGAUGAAGUUGGACGAGAUGAAAUCAGGUGAAGUUAGAUUACAUUAAAUUUGAAAUGGCAUGAGAUGAGACGGAAGAUUGACGUACAUUACAACAGAACAGGGAUGUGUUGGGUUUAGAGCAUGAGAAUGCAUUUUACAAAAUGAGAUGAGAUUCGAUGAGAUGACAUCAGAUUAAAUGAAAUGAGACUGAAUCAGAUGGGUCUGAAUUAGAAUACAGAUGAGAUGCUUGGAUGAGAAUGAGAUUAUGUUGUUAAAAGUAGAGAUCAGAUUAAACUGUAUAAGAUUAUAUUAGACUAAAAUCAGUUGAAUUAAAAUGAGAAUAUUAGAUAUGAGAUAAGAUGAGAUUACACUAGUCAUUUACAUGAGAUGGUAGAGAAGAGACAGGAGAACUAUAGAGUGGUAACAAUGAAAUGGAAACAAGAUAAUGGUACAUGUGGUGUCUUUUUCCUGCAGACUCUGCCAGACAAAAAGACAUGACUGGUAAGACAAAGCCUCUGCAGGACCACCUCUGAUAUUCUGCAUCAGUCAGACACCCAGCUGCUCAGUCAAUGCCAUUCCACCCAAUUACUGUCCAUCUGGCAGCGGCGUACAUUGAUGACCUCAAAUACACCCGUUGUGUCCAGCACAACAAAAACAGUGGAGCAUGAGCAGCAGACUUUUCCUUAGAUCGCCGUGCUGUGGGGUCUGGGCUCUUGCAGGCAGUUUUGGAUUACCGGAAGUAACAUUGAGUCACUAAUCUUGCUGCUUUCUGACUCAGACUGUUGAACUCAGAAAUCUGAUCUGGUACAAAGAGGCCCCCUGUUGUAAGGGGAUCUUUUUUUUUCUUCCAAAUGCUCCAAAUUAUUUGUGAGAAAAAGGCUGAUAUUAACCAUACAGACUAUUUUAAACUGAGGUAAUAGCAAAGAGCCAAACAACACACACUGCUUAAAAAUACUGAAUUCCGAAUCACGUUUUUCUCCCACGUCCACGUUAUUCAGGAACAGGUCUAACUGAAAAUACCCGACACAUUAGACAGCAGCCCCUGGCACCAUUUGAGCCGUAUGUAAUCUCAAAAGUUACAGAAUUGUUUUUGCAGAUUUGUAGACUUCCCAUAUGACACAAGAUUUAAUUUGGAGCAGUUACUGAACAUUCCACUGACUUCACCAAAAUGUGUUUUAUAUGAAAACACUUUACGUAACCAGCUGGCAGCGUGGAGCUGCAUGGAAACGAACAUGGGUGAAGUUACAGUAGUAGUGGUGACAGCGAGAGUUGGAGGAGGCCGUGAUGGACUCCUUAAAGCCUCAUAGCCACUAAUGAAGUUCAGCAAGAUUCUCUUCUAGCUUUUCCAUAUUGAAAACUAUUUGACAUCCAAAAUGAGAGUUUUGGCUUUUGGGAACAACUUGCUAAAAUCCAUUUAAUGUCGUCUUUAUGGAUCACUUCUAUAACAGAAGGAGAAAGUAGCCUCUUUCUAUUCCUGAUAGUCUUGUCACAGCUGAGCAAUGCCCAAGGAAUGAACAAAUCACUGCUGCUGACCAUGGGUGGGACUAAAUAUGGACUAUUAUUAAGGGUGGUAAGGUCUGGGUGCUCCACUCGUGUUUUCCUCAGGACAUGGAGUUGUAAAUGAUUAAAAAAAAGCCAAAGAAGCAACUUUUUUAUCUGUCAUUUCUGAAAAAAAAGACUCAUACAGCUCUUAGAUUUACAGCUUUCAGAAACCCGCAUCUUGUUUAUUUUGGUUGCAGUCAAUGCUGUAUUUCUUUUUUUUUAAUCAUGAGACAUUCUUCUAUUUAAAACUAACCCUUGUUUUGUUAGGAUGUCAUUCAUUUUUAUCCAAUUUGCACUAAAUUCUGUCAAUAAGAUAUGAAGAUGUAAUAGGUUAGAAAUUACAGUUUAGUAGAAUGGAGACUACUGCCACCUUGUGUUACAUCACUGAAAUUUAAAGCCAACUACCUCUGGCUUUUUCCUCUGAAUUCUAGCUUCACAUUCAAUUUUUUUUUUUUCAGGGAUGAGGAGUCUUCUUUUUUCUUUUCUUUUCCUCAGAAGCAAUUCUCAGGAAGUGAAAGUCAGAAUCAGAUGGAAAUAUGAGGGGCUAUCCAACCUCGUAAGGCAAGACAAAGAUCCCAGAAGUGCUAAUUCAUUUUGCACGGUGGAGAGAGAGACAGGAGACAUGGGGUAAAGACAUGCAGCAGUAAAUGACCAUGAGAUGGACUCAAACCCAUGACAGCAGCGUCUGGGACUACAGCCCCUGAUUCAGGGUCACUUGCUCAACCUGUUGAGCUACCAGGACGUCCAUUCCAUAUUUUUUUUUAAGUUAAAGACAUGCAAAAAUUACAAGUCGACACUGUCCUUAAACUUGCUCUGCAGGCUGCCGCCAGGUAUGCUUGUACACCUUUGUUUGAAAUGAUGACGUCAGAGGUGAUAACUGAAAAGCACAUUAUGUUCCUCACAGUCUGUGCUUAGAACGCCUAAAUUCGUCAAACAGGUUUAGUCACUGGGGCUAGCAGACAACACAUACACAUAUGCACCAAUCAGGCAUAACAUUAUGACUACCUUCUUGACAUUGUGUUGGUCCCCCUUUGCUGCCAAAACAGCCCUGACCCAUGGAGAUGUGGACUUCACUAGACCUUCAAGGUGUGCUGUGGUAUGAAAGCUUGAAUCAUCCAACCAGGCCACCUUCUUCCAUUGCUCCGUUGUCUAGUUCUGGUGCUCACUUGACCAUUGUUGAUGCUAUUAGUGGUGCACAGGGGUCAGCUUGUGCACUCUGACUGGUCUGCAGCUAUGUAGCCCUAUAUGCAACAACACGGAACCACACGGGCCAGCCUUCGCUCCCCAGCCAACAUGGGUGAAGAAGGAGCGAAGGCUUUAAGGGCUAAAUUGUGAUGGCUAGACACUAUCACAAUUUAGCCCUUAAAGCUUGCUCAAAUCCUUACACUUGCCCAUUUUUCCUGCUUCUAACACAUCAACUUUUAGGAUGUUGUUCACUUGCUGCUGAAUAUGUCCAACUAAAUAACAGAUGCCAAAAUAAAGAGACAAUCAGUGUUAUUCACCUCACUUUCAGUGGUCAUAAUGUUAUGUCUGAUCAGUGUAUAUGUACAGUGGUUAUAGUAGACAACUGCACAUCUUAAGGACACUUGUGGUGGGUCUUUACAGUACAUGAGUUGGUGCUGCACUGAGUGCAUCGUGAUGCUCUCCAUCAAUGUGCAUGUGACUGCAACUGAAGGCCUUCAAGCAUUCUUCUUCUGGGAAAGUUAGACAUUUUAUGCAAAGGUGUAAUUAAGAAGGGUGACCAUACAUACUUACAACAACUAAUAAAUUCAGAAACACCAAGCUAACCAGUGAAGAAAUUCAUAACAAAAUAUUUAGAGAAAAUUAGGCAGAAGUGUAAGGUUAUAUCUGCUCCAUAACACAACAUGAAGUCCAAUGCUCAAAGCAGAAGUAACUAAACCUCGUUCUUAGGAUUUUAAAACAUUGCAGGCACAGCCCAGGACAUAAAUCUUUUGAGUUUAACCCGAUAAUUGCACGAUUUUCAGGUCAUUUCAGAGUAAAAGUUGGAUGAGAUGUGAGGCCCUGUGCUUGAGGCAGAGUAAGAUCAUUAUGCUUUCUUUCCAUAUUCCAGAUUAAUGAGUGCAGACUUCUACGUCACUGGUUCUCAACAUGUGCGUCUUGGAAUCAGUUAUUAUUUGUGAUCAUUUACAGAGCUACAAUUACAUGUAAAGGAGUCCCGAAUGACAUAAAUGUUUGAGAACUGCUGAGCCAGACUAUGAUUGCUGCUUACUAUUUUCAUUUGGAUCUCUCUUGAGCCUUGAGAUGACAUGUGUUGUGAAUUGGUACUAC